CCAACUUUAUACCUUCGCCAUUGUAGCGCACGCGAAGAAUAUUUAAACAAAUGGGUAAUUUUUUUACUAUCUGUAAUUUCUGCAUGCAAAAAUUCGUUGUGCCAACAAAACUAAGCAGGAAUAAGAGAUAUUAGACUAAACGAGCGACAAUAACAAACUGGGAAAGUUUACGACUUCCAUCGUUCCGCGUUAUUAAUACUCAAACAAACAACGUUAUUUUUUAAUUUCAGUGUUACUCGGUGGAAAUAUUGUGUGUUUGCUGGCAGGCCUACAGGCGUACAGGGUCGAAGGGUGGGUUGGAUGCUGAAGAGUUACGAUGCGGACGAUACGGGUGGGGCUAACGUCGGAAAAUCAGAUCAUAUUUAUUGCGUCUGGGUGUAACGUGUAACGCCGCAAACUCGUAAAAAACAAACAAGCGACGAUAAAACCGAAACAAAAACGAAACACCAUGAAUCCUUAAGAAAUCACGCAGGAAAAAACAAGAAAUAAUAACAUCGUAUAAAUAAAAAUAAUGGUUUUAAAGGCAUAAAGUGAAUAAAAGAUAUAUAAACUUAAAAA